UAUCUAUGAUGAUCCUAUCCCAAACCUGAACAAACUGUUGAAAAAAAGUUUAUAUGGAUCUGGCUUCUGAGUU
rnacentral:snoRNA from 15 species